rnacentral:rRNA from 1 species
UACGUAUGUGGCAAGCGUUAUCCGGAAUUAUUGGGCGUAAAGAGCGCGCAGGUGGUUGAUUAAGUCUGAUGUGAAAGCCCACGGCUUAACCGUGGAGGGUCAUUGGAAACUGGUCGACUUGAGUGCAGAAGAGGGAAGUGGAAUUCCAUGUGUAGCGGUGAAAUGCGUAGAGAUAUGGAGGAACACCAGUGGCGAAGGCGGCUUCCUGGUCUGUAACUGACACUGAGGCACGAAAGCGUGGGGAGCAAACAGGAUUAGA